rnacentral:rRNA from 1 species
AUUGAACGCUGGCGGGAUGCCUUACACAUGCAAGUCGAACGGCAGCACGGAAUUCGGUCUGGUAGCGAGUGGCGAACGGGAGAGUAAUGUAUCGGAACGUGCCCAUUAGCGGGGGAUAACUACGCGAAAGCGUAGCUAAUACCGCAUACGCACUACGGGGGAAAGCAGGAGAUCGCGAGACCUAGAACUAUUGGAACGGCCGAUAUCGGAUUCGCUAGUUGGUGGGGUAAAGGCUAACCAAGGCGACGAUCCGUAGCGGGUUUGAGAGGACGAGCCGCCACACUGGGACUGAGACACGGCCCAGACUCCUACGGGAGGCAGCAGUGGGGAAUUUUGGACAAUGGGGGCAACCCUGAUCCAGCCAUGCCGCGUGUAUGAAGAAGGCCUUCGGGUUGUAAAGGACUUUUGUGAGGGAAGAAAAGGGAAGUGCUAAUACCACUGUUUACUGACGGUACCUAAAGAAUAAGCACCGGCUAACUACGUG